UUGGGACUGAGACACUGCCCAAACUCCUACGGGAGGCUGCAGUAGGGAAUUUUCCGCAAUGCACGAAAGUGUGACGGAGCGACGCCGCGUGUGUGAUGAAGGCUUUCGGGUCGUAAAGCACUGUUGUAAGGGAAGAAUAACUGAAUUCAGAGAAAGUUUUCAGCUUGACGGUACCUUACCAGAAAGGGAUGGCUAAAUACGUGCCAGCAGCCGCGGUAAUACGUAUGUCCCGAGCGUUAUCCGGAUUUAUUGGGCGUAAAGCGAGCGCAGACGGUUUAUUAAGUCUGAUGUGAAAUCCCGAGGCCCAACCUCGGAACUGCAUUGGAAACUGAUUUACUUGAGUGCGAUAGAGGCAAGUGGAACUCCAUGUGUAGCGGUGAAAUGCGUAGAUAUGUGGAAGAACACCAGUGGCGAAAGCGGCUUGCUAGAUCGUAACUGACGUUGAGGCUCGAAAGUAUGGGUAGCAAACGGGAUUAGAUACCCCGGUAGUCCAUACCGUAAACGAUGGGUGCUAGUUGUUAAGAGGUUUCCGCCUCCUAGUGACGUAGCAAACGCAUUAAGCACCCCGCCUGAGGAGUACGGCCGCAAGGCUAAAACUUAAAGGAAUUGACGGGGACCUGCACAAGCGGUGGAGCAUGUGGUUUAAUUCGAAGAUACGCGAAAAACCUUACCAGGUCUUGACAUACCAAUGAUCGCUUUUGUAAUGAAAGCUUUUCUUCGGAACAUUGGAUACAGGUGGUGCAUGGUCGUCGUCAGCUCGUGUCGUGAGAUGUUGGGUUAAGUCCCGCAACGAGCGCAACCCUUGUUAUUAGUUGCCAGCAUUUAGUUGGGCACUCUAAUGAGACUGCCGGUGAUAAACCGGAGGA
rnacentral:rRNA from 1 species